UACGUAGGGUCCGAGCGUUGUCCGGAAUUACUGGGCGUAAAGAGCUCGUAGGUGGUUUGUCGCGUUGUUCGUGAAAACUCACGGCUCAACUGUGGGCGUGCGGGCGAUACGGGCAGACUGGAGUACUGCAGGGGAGACUGGAAUUCCUGGUGUAGCGGUGGAAUGCGCAGAUAUCAGGAGGAACACCGGUGGCGAAGGCGGGUCUCUGGGCCGAUACUGACGCUGAGGAGCGAAAGCGUGGGGAGCGAACAGG
rnacentral:rRNA from 1 species